UCAAUGGAAUAUUAUCCUUUGAAUUCCUAUUUACUGCAUCCCAGGUUCUUACUUCUGCACCUCCCUAACUUUUUAAAAUGUCCAUUCCACCUUUUACUGAAUAGUAAAAUAAAAUCUCUCACUCUUCACCUUGUGUCCAGCUCCUUCGUCUUUACUUCCUCUGCACCUCCCUCCCACGGCUGUUGCAAAUCUGUGCACCUCCAUUGGGGUUUUGAAUCAAAGGUUUGCGUCUUCCACUCAUAAGCAUCGAGUGAACCUAUAUCUCCUCUCUUGCGUGGAGGGGAGCUGAAGGAAAUAUUUUGGUUUAUUUAUAGGUUUUCAGAUUGAGUAAUCCGAAUGUAGUUCUGAAUUCGGGAUUAAAUUUCGGAUUGCUUAACCGGGAAGCUACUAAAUAAAUCAACUUCGGAUUACUCCUUCAGUAAGGAUUAUGGCAAGGACAAGAGGUGCCGAUACCGUAGGUGAAGGCAGUAGUGGCGUUGAAAGACAAAGACCCGUGGCAUCAAUUCGAAGAAGGAAUCAUUGUGAAGCUCUUGAUAUAGACCUCGUUAGCUGAUCCUGCUGUAGUGGAUUCUGUAGGUGUAGGUGGAGGUGAGGCUGUAGUUGUAGAACAACCGGCAUUAAGGGUGAAGAGGUUGAAGAAGGAUUUGUUGGGGUCCAUUGGAUACUUCUCUACUAGUGGACUAUGUUGAUCAUGUGGCAUUGAAUCUCGUGGAAGAAAGUUGAGUAAACUAGAUGUUCUUGAUGGGCAUGUUGAGGAGUUUGUUCUAAAUUCUAGGUUGCUGCCUUUAUGUAACAUCAGGUAUGAGACAAUGGACAAAGGCUUGUUAUCAUCAUUUGUGGAGAGGUGACAUAGAGAUACACACAUUUCAUAUCUCCAUUGGUGAAAUGACGAUAACACUGGAUGAUGUUGAUGCAUUACUUCAUCUUCUGAUUAAGGGACAGUUUUGUCCAUUUGUCACUUUGGAGUUUGUUGUCGUUGUACCGGUCUUGGUGGACUUGUUAGGUGCGAAGAGGUCAAAUGUCACCUUAGAAAUGACAAUGAGGCAUUGUCGGGGGCCACUUGUUAGAUUGAGCUGGUUGAGAGAGAUUUAUCAGGAGUUGUGUGCUUUGGAACGUUGGGACUUAGCCCCCCGAGCCUUCUUGUUGCAUUUGUUGGGUGCACGAUCUUUGCUGACAAAAGUGUCACUUCAGUCAGUAUCUCAUACUUACCUCUAUUCAGGGAUUUAACAUUGUGUGGUGGGUACUCUGUGAAGUUAUUGCAUUGACGUAUAUGUAUGAGCAGUUUAGUGAUGCUUGCUUUGCCCAUACAAAACAAUUAGGAGGUUAUGAAACACUUACAAGUAUUUUGUAUAGAGAUUGCAUUUAUAUUUAAUAUCUAAGUUGUUCGAA